AGCGAACGCUGGCGGCAGGCUUAACACAUGCAAGUCGAACGGGCGUAGCAAUACGUCAGUGGCAGACGGGUGAGUAACGCGUGGGAACGUACCUUUUGGUUCGGAACAACCCAGGGAAACUCGAGCUAAUACCGGAUACGUCCGAGAGGAGAAAGAUUUAUUGCCGAGGGAUCGGCCCGCGUCUGAUUAGCUUGUUGGUGAGGUAACGGCUCACCAAGGCGACGAUCAGUAGCUGGCUGAGAGGAUGAUCAGCCACAUUGGGACUGAGACACGGCCCAAACUCCUACGGGAGGCAGCAGUGGGGAAUAUUGGACAAUGGGCGCAAGCCUGAUCCAGCCAUGCCGCGUGAGUGAUGAAGGCCCUAGGGUUGUAAAGCUCUUUUACCCGGGAAGAUAAUGACUGUACCGGGAGAAUAAGCCCCGGCUAACUUCGUGCCAGCAGCCGCUGU
rnacentral:rRNA from 1 species